GGCCUGGCGGCCGCCGGGCUGGUGCUGUGCGCCUUGGAACUGGACACGUCCUUAACCUCGUUUGGUCACGUUUAGAAGCGGCAGCUCGGUGAGGUGCGUCAGACGCCGAUGGGAACAUACCAGGCUCCUCGGUGGAGUGUGAAUCAGGAAUAACACCAAUUAAAUCAGUGGAGUUGCAGCAGGUCACACUGGAAUCAGACACGUUAUGGUUUCUGAAAAUGUUGAAUUGUUUUGUUGAAAUUCACUGUGUACAUGUGAGAUUCUCAAAAGUGAUGGAGGGAGUCCCAGGAAAGAAUUUUCAUUACAGUAUUUUAAGAACACAGAGAAGGAAAAAAAAACAUGAACAACUCUAUGGUUUCAAGAGACAAAAUACAAGGCUGCUAAUAUGAAAAAUAAUUUGAAAAUGGUUUGAAAUGAAGAAAGAACUUCAGAUUCUUCUCAUGUGCCAUCACUUCCUUUGUUGUUCCCUCUACUGUGACCUCAGAUGCCUGCCGACUGGUACAAUGUACAAGUACUUGAUGGGAGAACUCCGCAGCUUGUAAUCUGCAUCAUCUUUGGAGUACAAGGAGCAAAUGCUAGAAGAACUUUUACUUUGGUGGCACUUAAGCUGUGUCUUGCUGCAUAUGCUGGUCUUUACAAUAUUUACCAGUGGUGCACUUAGUUGAAACACCAAGUCAUCAUUUGUGCUUGGAUUACAACAAAGCUUAAAGCUGUCUGGGUAUUACUAAUAGAAGGCAUAAAAUAAAGCCCAGAAGAUACAUUCAAAACAGAACCUCCUUGGGCAACUGUGUUUGGAGCUACUUUUGCCAGAUGAGCUGGAAUUGUUUUAAUUGCAGUUCUUAUAACUAUCAUUGUAAUUAGCUACUGCUUCUCCUGCAGAAAAGGAAAACAUGCUGGCCAUUUAAAUAGCUGAAAUAAAAAGGCCAGAAAAACUAUUAUUAUUCAUGGACAGCAAAUGAGUUUGCAUCUUCUGCUACUUCUGAUAAUAGCUGUUGGAAGACACCCUGAUAAAACUGUUUUACAUCUAGUAGCCUUUCUUGUUGUUUGCACUGUGAUUUAACCCUGUUCAUGGUCAGAGAAACAAAAGGCUGCACACCAAGCUGUUCAAGGUGGUGCUCUUACUACAUGGCAAACAGUAACAACAUUGCAGCUAUUUGUAUGACUGAUCCUAGAUGUAAAACUCUAGCUUUUCCAUCUUCUAAGAAAGUGUGAUCAUCAAUACUGUAAUAUAAAGAAGAAAGCCUUGGAUACUCCUGCACAAAGUGUUUUUAUGACACUUUAUGACACAGCUGGAAAUUAAAGAAAGUUAAACUGUUUGACUUCAACAAUUUUCAUAUCCUUGCUAUUAUG